GAUGAACGCUGGCGGCGUGCCUAAUACAUGCAAGUCGAGCGAACGGACGAGAAGCUUGCUUCUCUGAUGUUAGCGGCGGACGGGUGAGUAACACGUGGAUAACCUACCUAUAAGACUGGGAUAACUUCGGGAAACCGGAGCUAAUACCGUAUAAUAUUUUGAACCGCAUGGUUCAAAAGUUAAAGACGGUCUUGCUGUCACUUAUAGAUGGAUCCGCGCUGCAUUAGCUAGUUGGUAAGGUAACGGCUUACCAAGGCAACGAUGCAUAGCCGACCUGAGAGGGUGAUCGGCCACACUGGAACUGAGACACGGUCCAGACUCCUACGGGAGGCAGCAGUAGGGAAUCUUCCGCAAUGGGCGAAAGCCUGACGGAGCAACGCCGCGUGCGUGAUGAAGGUCUUCGGAUCGUAAACCUCUGUUAUUAGGGACGAACAUAUGUGUAAGUAACUGUGCACAUCUUGACGGUACCUAAUCAGAAAGCCACGGCUAACUACGUG
rnacentral:rRNA from 1 species